rnacentral:rRNA from 1 species
CGUAGGGUGCGAGCGUUGUCCGGAAUUACUGGGCGUAGAGAGCUCGUAGGUGGUUUGUCGCGUUGUUCGUGAAAACUCACAGCUUAACUGUGGGCGUGCGGGCGAUACGGGCAGACUGGAGUACUGCAGGGGAGACUGGAAUUCCUGGUGUAGCGGUGGAAUGCGCAGAUAUCAGGAGGAACACCGGUGGCGAAGGCGGGUCUCUGGGCAGUAACUGACGCUGAGGAGCGAAAGCGUGGGGAGCGAACAGGAUCAGAUACCCUGGUAGUCCACGCCGUAAACGGUGGGUACUAGGUGUGGGUUUCCUUCCUUGUGAUCCGUGCCGUAGCUAACGCAUUAAGUACCCCGCCUGGGGAGUACGGCCGCAAGGCUA